GGGUGAUAAGCUCCCGCAUCGAUCCUUGCGGUAUGCAUAGUCGCUUAUCUCGGAAUAAGUAGCCGUCAUGCUUGUAGUAGGGUCCGAAAGCUGCCUUGUCACAUUCCUUGAAAAUGGAUCCAAAGUCGGUAUCUUCUAGAUAAGCAAUAUUCACGUGUUCAAACCCUAAAACUUUAGCCUCCAUGGUAGUGAUGAGAGCAUGUCGACGUGAAAGUGCAUCCGCUACAAUGUUUUCUUUUCCUUUCUUGUAUUUGAUGAUGUACGGAAAAGUCUCUACGAACUCUAGCCACCGUGC
rnacentral:lncRNA from 1 species